rnacentral:rRNA from 1 species
CCUACGGGAGGCAGCAGUGGGGAAUAUUGGACAAUGGGCGAAAGCCUGAUCCAGCCAUGCCGCGUGAGUGAUGAAGGCCCUAGGGUUGUAAAGCUCUUUCACCGGUGAAGAUAAUGACGGUAACCGGAGAAGAAGCCCCGGCUAACUUCGUGC